GGAAGAUCCAUGGAGGUCUGCUGUCAUCUGUGGGAAGCCUUGAUGAGAAGAUCAAGGCUCAGAGAGAGAAAGGAACAGGGCCAAGGUCACAACACAGAAAUUCAAAUCCGAACUAGAUUCCACUUACCCGAAGAAGGAGGAAAGAAGUGAUCUGUGUAGAGAAAAAACAUCCAAAAAAGAUGCCGCGCCGAG